UGGCACCUACGGGGCGCAGCAGUGGGGAAUAUUGCACAAUGGGGGAAACCCUGAUGCAGCGACGCCGCGUGAGUGAAGAAGCGUUUCGGCGCGUAAAGCUCUGUCAGCGGGGAAGAAACACGGUUCGCGAGAGCCGCGGACGGUACCCGACCAAGAAGCCCCGGCUAACUACAUGCCAGCAGCCGCGGUAAUACGUAGGGGGCAAGCGUUAUCCGGCUUCACUGGGUGUAAAGGGAGCGUAGACGGCGAGAC
rnacentral:rRNA from 1 species